rnacentral:rRNA from 1 species
AAUAGAUACCCGGGUAGUCCUAGCCGUAAACGAUGUCGACUAGAUCGUGGCGCCUCUGACGGCGUCACGGUCGAAGCAAAAGUGCUAAGUCGACCGCCUGGGAAGUACGGUCGCAAGGCUAAAACUCAAAGAAAUUGACGGGGGCUCACACAAGCGGUGGAGCAUGUGGUUCAAUUCGAAGCAACGCGCAGAACCUUACCUGGGCUUGACAUGCCAGGAUUAUCCUUAUGAAAGUAAGGUAGGCCCCGCAAGGGGUACAACUGGUACAGGUGCUGCAUGGCUGUCGUCAGCUCGUGUCGUGAGAUGUCGGGUUAAGUCCCUUAACGAGCGAAACCUUUGCCCUUAGUUACUAACAGGUAAUGCUGAGGACUCUAAGGGGACUGCCGGUGUCAAACCGGAGGAAGGUGGAGAUGACGUCAAGUCCUCAUGGCCUUUAUGCCCAGGGCCACACACGUGCUACAAUGGGGUGCACAAAGCGAACCAAGACCGCAAGGUGAGGAAAUCGCAAAAAUCACCCCCCAGUUCAGAUAGGAGG